AGUGGUGUCUGAACUUGUUUUGUUUUUAUUUACAGAGGAGCCGUAGUGACUUGGGGCUGGAUAUCCCUCUGCGGUUAGGGUUAUUAAGGUCGCGCUGUGGCCCAAAGGAGAACGCUACGUGGAACCUCUUAAUCAAAAUUCAGAACCUCCUGUCCGUGGAUUUGAUGCAACCCAGGAGAUACCAAGAGGUUUGGUUCCUCAAAGGACCACUAAGCUGGUUCCAGAAGGGAGCAGUUCCACGUCCAAGUUACCCCUUAUAAGAUUUGCUCUGAUAAGAAUUGUGCUUUUGGUGUUUUUAACAUGUUUUAACAUUUUUCUGAUGAAAAUAAAGAUUAAAACUGCAUUUCUUUAUUCAAAUUGUUGUGAAUCAGGAGCAGAUAAAAAAUUGCAGUUGGGAAAAAAAUCUUUUGGCUACUAUGUAAAAUUUACAAUGGAAGGCCACAAGCUCCCUGGUCUGCCCCAUUCUGAUGCAUCCGCCAUUACGACAAUACAAGACAAUGAUCUUUAAUAUCCUAAUGGGUCAUGUGAUUUUAAAAACAUUCGUUUCAAGUAAUAUCUCUAAUUAAACUAGUUUUUGACUCAUAUUUUACACAUUUUGACAACUUUAUUUUAUAAUGUGUAAUUCUAGUCUUAUGUCAGUUGGUUAAAAAAUAAAGUGCAACUGGACUAACUUAGCGUUUAAAUUAGGAUCAUUUUAAGGGGGGAAGUAUAGACGUUUAAUAAACGCUUAUUUUCAGACAUAGUAUUUCCAAUUGCAAGAGUAAUAUACCUAACAUGACAGCUUGUAACUAAUUUUAUGACUUAAUUUGGACUUAACAGGGCAGGACUUCACAUUUUAUUUGAAGAAAUCAAGUCGUCUAUAUUUUUCACUAGUUUUGAGAAAGACAUGUUUCUAUAUGAGGCUUUGAGAGUCAAACUUCAAAAAGACGUCUCCUUUUCCUGAACUCACUCUGCUUCAUCCCUUCAUUCAUGGGGCGGCAGGGUGGUCGGAUGCAGCUUCGAUUCCCGCCUUGCCCGCCCAUAUAUCGAUGUGUCCUUAGGCAAGACCCAAGACCCAACCUUGCCUUGGAUGAUUGACGAAGCCACCAUCAGUGUGUGACUGUAAAUCGCUUUGGGCCUUUGAGUAUACCUACAAGUAUACGCCAUUCACCCCGAUUUACAAACCCAAAACAAAUGCUCCUCCCCUCUGGUACACUUGGGUGAAGUAAGCGGCUACCAUCUGAACAUUGUAAAUGUCGGCAAACUUUCAAAGACACAAAGUGAAAGCAGUUCCAGCAUCCCACCUGAUGCAGCUUAUGUCUCAAACCUGUUAGUUCUUCCAUCAAAAAUGACUCAUUCAAAGAAGAUUUAGGACAGUCGGAUAACCUGUCAGGCUGAAAGACUUCAGUUUCACCCGUUUAGUCCACAAGUCUGAGGAACAAGCAGCUGUGAUUAAACUGGCACAAAAAAAACGAAGCAAAAGAGUUUCAUGAGAAUUAUUGAAGUGCCAAAGCUCACAGGAAAGACAAAUGUAGCUGUCCGUCUACGCUGGGGUCUCUUACAGAGAAACACUCGGGCGUCCAGGAUAAAAACUAGACCUUUCUCAGUGAGGAACACAAAAUGUAAUCCAGACUUUCAUGAGGAAAAACAGAAGGUUUGACCUCUGGAGACCAAACAGAAAACAUCCUAAUUUUCUGGAUGUUUAAAAUUCUAUAUGGCAGAGAAGCAAAGAACAGGGUUUCUGUUUGGAUCCACUGCGCUUGAUUUCAUUUAGCAGGAAAACAAAUGACUGCAAGGUUUUGUGGGAAACAUGCAUGUAUGCUGAAGAGCUGAAAGAAGAAAUGUAAGCAGACAUCUCAACAAGGAUGAAUCCCAUCAUCUGGAAAGACUUAUCCUCAUUACAGUUAAAAGCAAACAUUGAUGUAUACGGGGUUGUUUCCCCUUGUUGUUCCACUAUCUCACAAAGCAUUUUGUAAUUUAGGAGCAUGCGUUAUCUGCUUUCACUCCCUUCCCUUCCUCUGUUUCCUCCGAGGAGUGGACCUGGAUGACAAAUUAACAGCAUUAGUCUCCAUAAUUCAGAGAAAAGCCAUGAUGGUGCAAAACCUGACAGAGGGAAUCAAAUUCAUAUGGAGGAGAGCGGGGAAUUGCGCGCCUGGCUCGGAGCAAACAUCUACUUUUAAUUAGAGGGUGCUCCAAUAUCGCAGUCCGAGGCACGCCAAGAUUACACUGACCACAGAGCGAGGCUGGCCUCCCGGAGGUCAGAUUUGAGUUUUUAAUCGGAGUUUUGUGGCUGGAGCGAACGGAGCCACCCGCCUGAGGCACAACAGGCUUUUACCACUGAUUUGCAAAGGAAAGCAACUGCCAAAAACCUCGCCCAUUACACUGCUGCAGUCAGCCGAGAACAUUUAUCACCAUGGAUGUCAUAUUUAAGGCCGACUACGCCAAAAAUGCUCAACAUUUCUCUUGGGUUUGUCGCGCAAAUCUGCCAAAAAGCCCAGGAUUUGAUUCGACGGCUUUGGUAGCAGGAAUCCUGACAUUUGUAACUCUGAAUGACUUAGGAUGUAAUUUCAAGUAAUCCUGUCAUUACUGAGCAGCAGCGUUUGGACUCCAACCACAUCCAUCCUGCAGAGAACACAGCAGAGGACUUCCACAACAACCAGUUGAUUGUCUUUUCUGGUUUUUAGAAAAACUUUGAGAAGUAGUCAGGACAUUUGGUUUGGGUCAAUCCUUUCUUUGUUGUAACAACACUCUGUGGAAAUAAAAGCUAUUCUUUUGGACA